rnacentral:rRNA from 1 species
UGACAGUACUCCUACGGGGAGGCAGCAGUGGGGGAAUAUUGCACAAUGGGCGCAAGCCUGAUGCAGCCAUGCCGCGUGUGUGAAGAAGGCCUUCGGGUUGUAAAGCACUUUCAGUCGUGAGGAAGGUAGUGUAGUUAAUAGCUGCAUUAUUUGACGUUAGCGACAGAAGAAGCACCGGCUAACUCCGUGCCAGCAGCCGCGGUAAUACGGAGGGUGCGAGCGUUAAUCGGAAUUACUGGGCGUAAAGCGCAUGCAGGUGGUUUGUUAAGUCAGAUGUGAAAGACCCGGGGCUCAACCUCGGAAUAGCAUUUGAAACUGGCAGACUAGAGUACUGUAGAGGGGGGUAGGAAUUUCAGGUGUAGCGGUGAAAUGCGUAGAGAUCUGAAGGAAUACCGGUGGCGAAGGCGGCCCCCUCGGACAGAUACUGACACUCAGAUGCGAAAGCGUGGGGAGCAAACAGGAUUAGAUACCCUGGUAG